rnacentral:rRNA from 1 species
AGUCGAGCGCUCUCUUCGGAGGGAGCGGCGGACGGGUGAGUAACGCGUGGGAACGUGCCCUUCUCUGCGGAAUAGCCACUGGAAACGGUGAGUAAUACCGCAUACGCCCUUCGGGGGAAAGAUUUAUCGGAGAAGGAUCGGCCCGCGUUAGAUUAGGUAGUUGGUGGGGUAAUGGCCUACCAAGCCUACGAUCUAUAGCUGGUUUGAGAGGAUGAUCAGCCACACUGGGACUGAGACACGGCCCAGACUCCUACGGGAGGCAGCAGUGGGGAAUCUUAGACAAUGGGGGAAACCCUGAUCUAGCCAUGCCGCGUGAGUGACGAAGGCCCUAGGGUCGUAAAGCUCUUUCGCCAGGGAUGAUAAUGACAGUACCUGGUAAAGAAACCCCGGCUAACUCCGUGCCAGCAGCCGCGGUAAUACGGAGGGGGUUAGCGUUGUUCGGAAUUACUGGGCGUAAAGCGCGCGUAGGCGGGCUGGAAAGUUGGGGGUGAAAUCCCGGGGCUCAACCCCGGAACUGCCUCCAAAACUCCCAGCCUAGAGUUCGAGAGAGGUGAGUGGAAUUCCGAGUGUAGAGGUGAAAUUCGUAGAUAUUCGGAGGAACACCAGUGGCGAAGGCGGCUCACUGGCUCGAUACUGACGCUGA